UUCCCGUUAAGUGAGAAACCAAGUGGCAAACAUAUUAAUUAUUAAAUUUCAUAUUUUGUAAACCAAAUUUAUUGAUAAGUGAGUCCUAAAAUAAAUAUUUAGAAGUCUAUAAUGCUUUGUGAAUAGUUAGAAAUAAAAGCGUCCAUAUUGUUCGAAAUUAAGAAGCAGCAAUCAAAUGACGUCAUUCAACGAUCGACUGAUGCGGUCAGUUCAGUGCAAUUUAUUUAAAAUGCGAAAUUAAAGACGCUACACAUUAAGAUAAAGGCGUUUAGUGUAAACGCUGCUAAUUGGUUGCCUUACGAAUACAUUAUAAAAGUGUUCAAGCCCACCUAACGAAUUACUCAUCUAUCACUAGAAGUAUUUUUUGGAAAUAAUCAGCUUCGACUAUUAUUAACCCAGAAAAAUACGCUGUCCCAAUCAAGAAAAAUAUAUAGUUCCAUGGGUGAAUAACCGCUUAAUGAGUUAAGGUCUCGCUUAUUUACAAUCCGUUUUGAAUCCUAAUGUUGACCAAGAAUUACUGACUCUAGCUGCAGAUGUUGGUGAUUAACUAAAAAAAUUGCUCGGCAACAAUUGGUUUCCAAUUGUUUUUAAAACAACAACAACAAUAAUAUGAAGAUUUGGUUUUGAGAAUAUGCAAGUUAAUUUGGAACACUAUAUUUUCAGAAUAACCAGAAAAAUAAACAAAAAGGCAUUGAACGCAUCGAGUAGUUUUAUUGCUUCCAGUUCCGGUCAGUUUUACAUCAACAAGGAUUGGAAGAUAAUGGAGCUAAACUGCGAAACGCCAAAGGAAUAACGCUGGAAUCAAAAGUGGAGUACAUGUUGAAUGUAGAACAACAAAAACAUUCAUUGUAGAAAAGAAUUAAUAACAUUGUUAACAAAGUAUUGACAGCAAUAAAUGGUCUAUGUAAUGCAGCCAGCAGAGCCUCUCAAAUAUCUUCCUGAUAAGAAUGGAGCUAAUUGCGGUUAUUAUCGAUUAAAGCAAAAUUUUACUACCUUAGAUUAUUUGAAUAAACAGUGAAGUGAUGUGGAAGAAGGCAGGAUUCUUCUAUUUGUUUCCACACUCCUCGCUAUUUUAAGGGUUCAAGUUGAAAGUUGAAGUUUUACAACCGAUCGGAAGCAUUGGUAAACGCAGGUUUUUGUAUUUAUAAUUCUAUGUUGGAGAUGUCGGGGAGUGAAUCAAAAAUUAACCCGAACUGUAACAGAGCAGAUGCACUUUUCUAUUUUCUUUGAGCGCCGAGCAGCACGAUGUCCAUCAGUUCCUAUUGGUCAUGCAUACGUACAAUAAGUCAUCUUUGAAGUAGGUCCAAAGCUUGAAUCAAUGCAUCACACGUUUUCUGCUCCAAACUACAGAGAAACCAUUAGCCUAAUUUCAUGAUAAUUGAAAAAUCAAAGCUGAAAGCAAGGAUUAAAGGUUAAUGUUUUACUCUGGUUCUGAUAUAACGGAUGAAUGUUGGCAACUCUUAAUUUAACGAAUUUGAGUAGUGCAGAUUUAGUUUAAUUAAAAUAAAGGAUUUAUAAUAUAAUUUCAAUUGAAAACCUGG